AUUCAACUCGUACUUUAUUUUCAAAAAAAAUGGGCCAAUGGGUAAUUAGACUAUUAGACUGUGAGGUCAGUCAAUUUUGAAGCCCAAUGAUUUUGGGCCGCGGCAACUCAUCUCAAGCAAAAUAAGUCAACAAAUAGGUGCACCAUUUCAUCGACGGCGCACGAUAGCUCUCCUCCGCCAUGGACGCGCCUGAAUCACCACCACAACCGGCGAGCUCUCCUCCGCUCACCUCCGUCGCCAUCGACGCGGUAGACGACCCGCUCUCGAGUACGUACGCGUCUCUGAACUCCCACUGUCACGAUCUCUCCACUCUGCAGGACCUCGCCUGCCGCGGCGCGUGGCGGACGAUCCUAGACAAGGUGGCGCGUUCGCGAUCGCUCUCCCUUCUUUCGCGGCCGCACGAACACCUAAUAUACCUCACCUUCAAUGUUCUCGCCUUGGUCAAGCUCCGCCGCUACGCUGACGCGCAGCAAGAGCUCGAAACCCUAGAUGAUGAUCUCGGAUCCAAGCAAUACCUGUUCGAGUCGUAUCCGGAUCAGUACCCGAACCACAAGCCCGGAUCCAUGAUCCCUUUCGCGCUCCGUUGGUUGCACGUGCACUUGCCAUUUACCCUAGGUGAUCGCCAAUUAUCCCUUGAUCGCCUUUACAUCCUUCUGCAUUUCAUUCGCGACACGAAAUUGUCGCGCAGUCGCGAUUCGAUUACUGAAAUCUCGAUGAAUCUUUGGAAGAAGCGUGAGACGUUUGUGAUCAAUUCAAUUGUGAGUCAUCAUUUGAGUCUGAAGGAAUUUAAGGUGUGUCUGUAUUUGUUGAAGGCGGAGACUAGUAAAACCGAGGAUCCUUUCAUGGUAUCCAAACUAGGGUACGUGCAGAUGCAAUACGGUGAUCUUGAUGGGGCGAAACGGAGCUUUAAAUUGGUCGAGAAAAUGGUGGAGAAGAGUGAGAGUGGGGAUGUGAGUUUAAAGAAUUUGGUGGGUAGGAAUAAGGCAUUGAUUUAUUUGGUUGGGAAGGAUUAUGUGUCUGCUGUGAGGGAGUAUGAAGAGUGUAUGGAGAGGGAUGCAUCCGACGUUGUGGCUAUCAACAACAAAGCUCUCUGUUUGAUGUAUUUGAGGGAUUUGUCGGACUCGAUCAAGGUGUUGGAAAGUGCAUUGGAGAGGGUUCCGACUGUGGCAUUGAAUGAGACGCUUGUUGUAAAUUUGUGUAGUAUGUAUGAGCUGGCCUAUGUGAAUCAUGCUGAUGUUAAGAAAACUCUUAGUACUUGGAUUGCAAGAGUGGCUCCGGAUGACUUCGAUACUUCAUGUACCAGGAUUUGAGUUAUUACUGGAUAGAGAUCUGUUACUCUUGCUCUUAUCAACUUUUAAGCUUGCAUAUCAUUACCUACUGUAACAAGUUUCCAUAUAGCCAAUGGGAAUGUGCUGUAGUAGUAUGGAGUAUUUAUCAUCAGCAGUGUCCAGCCCAAAUAUGUUAGAAGCAGUUGCUAGUGUUGCACAUUAUACAUCCAUGGUGCUCAGCAUAAAAUCUUGAGGCAAUGUUGCGAAGGUGCUAGGUAGCAGACCUGGUCCUACUGCGUAGGCAGGCUGAUUGGGGGGAAAAUGAGAGAGAGAGGGUUCGGACUGCCUAGCUCCUUGGCUGGCCUAACCAAAACUAAUCAGAUCACGCAAUUGAACGAUGCUCUGCUACAGCAGAAAUUUGCAUCUUGACUUGACAUCUUUUGCCAAGUAUAGAUUCUUCCCAGGGUUCUGCAUUGACUUGUGGAUUGGAUUAAUCAAAUUUUCUAACCUAGAUUUCUGUUGAGGUUUUUUUGGGUAUUUUCGGAUUUUUCUUGGUUUUCCUCAGUCGAUGAUUGAAUGUCUUUCUGUUAUUAGGUUUCGUGGAUCAUGUUUGGUGUUUGAAUAUAUCUUGUUUCUGUUUAA